UUAAGUGACUAAGCGUACACGGUGGAUGCCUAGGCAGUCAGAGGCGAUGAAGGGCGUGCUAAUCUGCGAAAAGUGUCGGUAAGGUGAUAUGAACCGUUAUAACCGGCAAUACCCGAAUGGGGAAACCCAGUGUGUUUCGACACACUAUCGUAUGGUGAAUACAUAGCCAUACGAGGCGAACCGGGGGAACUGAAACAUCUAAGUACCCCGAGGAAAAGAAAUCAACCGAGAUUCCCCUAGUAGCGGCGAGCGAACGGGGAACAGCCCAGAACCUGAAUCAGUUCUUGUGUUAGUGGAAGCGUCUGGAAAGUCGCGCAGCAAAGGGUGAUAGCCCCGUACACUAAAAUGCAUUAACUGUGAGUUCGAUGAGUAGGGCGGGACACGUGACAUCCUGUCUGAAUAUGGGGGGACCAUCCUCCAAGGCUAAAUACUCCUGACUGACCGAUAGUGAACCAGUACCGUGAGGGAAAGGCGAAAAGAACCCCGGCGAGGGGAGUGAAAUAGAACCUGAAACCGUGUACGUACAAGCAGUGGGAGCACCUUCGUGGUGUGACUGCGUACCUUUUGUAUAAUGGGUCAGCGACUUAUAUUUUGUAGCAAGGUUAACCGUAUAGGGGAGCCGUAGGGAAACCGAGUCUUAACUGGGCGAAUAGUUGCAAGGUAUAGACCCGAAACCCGGUGAUCUAGCCAUGGGCAGGUUGAAGGUUGGGUAACACUAACUGGAGGACCGAACCGACUAAUGUUGAAAAAUUAGCGGAUGACUUGUGGCUGGGGGUGAAAGGCCAAUCAAACCGGGAGAUAGCUGGUUCUCCCCGAAAGCUAUUUAGGUAGCGCCUCGUGAACUCAUCUUCGGGGGUAGAGCACUGUUUCGGCUAGGGGGCCAUCCCGGCUUACCAAACCGAUGCAAACUCCGAAUACCGAAGAAUGUUAUCACGGGAGACACACGGCGGGUGCUAACGUCCGUCGUGAAGAGGGAAACAACCCAGACCGCCAGCUAAGGUCCCAAAGUCAUGGUUAAGUGGGAAACGAUGUGGGAAGGCAUAGACAGCCAGGAUGUUGGCUUAGAAGCAGCCAUCAUUUAAAGAAAGCGUAAUAGCUCACUGGUCGAGUCGGCCUGCGCGGAAGAUGUAACGGGGCUAAACCAUGCACCGAAGCUGCGGCAGCGACGCUUAGGCGUUGUUGGGUAGGGGAGCGUUCUGUAAGCCGUUGAAGGUGAACUGUGAGGUUUGCUGGAGGUAUCAGAAGUGCGAAUGCUGACAUAAGUAACGAUAAAGCGGGUGAAAAACCCGCUCGCCGGAAGACCAAGGGUUCCUGUCCAACGUUAAUCGGGGCAGGGUGAGUCGACCCCUAAGGCGAGGCCGAAAGGCGUAGUCGAUGGGAAACAGGUUAAUAUUCCUGUACUCGGUGUUACUGCGAAGGGGGGACGGAGAAGGCUAGGCUAGCCGGGCGACGGUUGUCCCGGUUUAAGCGUGUAGGGGGNAACCCUGAGGCGUGAUGACGAUGCACUACGGUGCAGAAGUAGUUGAUGCCCUGCUUCCAGGAAAAGCCUCUAAGCAUCAGGUAACAUCAAAUCGUACCCCAAACCGACACAGGUGGUCAGGUAGAGAAUACCAAGGCGCUUGAGAGAACUCGGGUGAAGGAACUAGGCAAAAUGGUGCCGUAACUUCGGGAGAAGGCACGCUGGCGCGUAGGUGAAGAGACUUGCUCUCGGAGCUGAAGCCAGUCGCAGAUACCAGCUGGCUGCAACUGUUUAAUAAAAACACAGCACUGUGCAAACACGAAAGUGGACGUAUACGGUGUGACGCCUGCCCGGUGCUGGAAGGUUAAUUGAUGGGGUCAGCCGCAAGGCGAAGCUCUUGAUCGAAGCCCCAGUAAACGGCGGCCGUAACUAUAACGGUCCUAAGGUAGCGAAAUUCCUUGUCGGGUAAGUUCCGACCUGCACGAAUGGCGUAAUGAUGGCCAGGCUGUCUCCACCCGAGACUCAGUGAAAUUGAACUCGCUGUGAAGAUGCAGUGUACCCGCGGCAAGACGGAAAGACCCCGUGAACCUUUACUAUAGCUUGACACUGAACAUUGAGCCUUGAUGUGUAGGAUAGGUGGGAGGCUUUGAAGUGUGGACGCCAGUCUGCAUGGAGCCAACCUUGAAAUACCACCCUUUAAUGUUUGAUGUUCUAACUCGGCCCCGUAAUCCGGGGUGAGGACAGUGUCUGGUGGGUAGUUUGACUGGGGCGGUCUCCUCCCAAAGAGUAACGGAGGAGCACGAAGGUUAGCUAAUCACGGUCGGACAUCGUGAGGUUAGUGCAAAGGCAUAAGCUAGCUUGACUGCGAGAGUGACGGCUCGAGCAGGUACGAAAGUAGGUCUUAGUGAUCCGGUGGUUCUGAAUGGAAGGGCCAUCGCUCAACGGAUAAAAGGUACUCCGGGGAUAACAGGCUGAUACCGCCCAAGAGUUCAUAUCGACGGCGGUGUUUGGCACCUCGAUGUCGGCUCAUCACAUCCUGGGGCUGAAGUAGGUCCCAAGGGUAUGGCUGUUCGCCAUUUAAAGUGGUACGCGAGCUGGGUUUAGAACGUCGUGAGACAGUUCGGUCCCUAUCUGCCGUGGGCGUUGGAAGAUUGAGAGGGGUUGCUCCUAGUACGAGAGGACCGGAGUGAACGCACCACUGGUGUUCGGGUUGUCAUGCCAAUGGCACUGCCCGGUAGCUAAGUGCGGAAAAGAUAAGCGCUGAAAGCAUCUAAGCGCGAAACUUGCCUCGAGAUGAGUCUUCCCUGGGCCUUUAAGGCCCCUGAAGGAACGUUUAAGACUAAGACGUUGAUAGGCUGGGUGUGUAAGUGCAGCGAUGCAUUGAGCUAACCAGUACUAAUGAUCCGUGAGGCUUAACCUU
rnacentral:rRNA from 1 species